AGAUUACCUAGGUGAAGUUAUUGUUGUAAGCUUCUAUUCUUCAUACAUUUUGAUGUUUCUUUGGGAAUGAGGAUAGGUUCAUGAAAAAAUAGUACAACAAUGAUGCAGGAGCUUCAACAAGUGAUUUUAGGACUAAUUAUUUUAGGAAGAAAUACAGAAAGUACCAUUUUAUUUAGUAUUGUUUUAGCAUUCCUAAUUAAUGUUGGUUUAUUAUUUUCUUAAUUUCUAAUCCUAGUAUUAGUAGAGCUAGAGCUUACAUUGAUUAAUGGUGACGAUUGAAAAUUUAACUAGUUUGAGAAAUUUUCCCCUUUGAAUGUUCUUGGUUAUACAUCAAGCAAGCUUUCACCAAAUCAUUUCACAAGAUGCAACAAAAUAUUAGACUAAAACCAUCGUCUACAAUCUCAGUUAAAAGAAAUCUUAUUCAUGUAAACACGUCAAAUAAUAGGUGCUAUUUUAUAAUCUAUAGAUGUUUUGAUGGCAAAAGAAUGCCAGCUAAUGAAGAGUGCAUCAACAGAGAAAUAGAAG
rnacentral:misc_RNA from 1 species